rnacentral:rRNA from 1 species
CGUGUAGGCGGCCGCACAGGUCCGUUGUGAAAACUGGAGGCUUAACCUUCAGACGUCGAUGGAAACCGUGCGGCUAGAGUCCGGAAGAGGAGAAUGGAAUUCCUGGUGUAGCGGUGAAAUGCGCAGAUAUCAGGAAGAACACCCGUGGCUAAGGCGGUUCUCUAGUACGGUACUGACGCUGAGACGCGAAAGCGUGGGGAGCGAACA